rnacentral:rRNA from 1 species
GUGAGGAAUUUUCCGCAAUGGGCGAAAGCCUGACGGAGCAAUGCCGCGUGAAGGAUGAAGGCCUAUGGGUUGUAAACUUCUUUUCUUAGAGAAGAAUAUUGACGGUAUCUGAGGAAUAAGCAUCGGCUAACUCUGUGCCAGCAGCCGCGGUAAUACGUAGGGGGCAAGCGUUGUCCGGAAUGAUUGGGCGUAAAGGGCGCGUAGGCGGCCUGGUAAGUCUGGAGUGAAAGUCCUGCUUUUAAGGUGGGAAUUGCUUUGGAUACUGUCGGGCUUGAGUGCAGGAGAGGUAAGUGGAAUUCCCGGUGUAGCGGUGAAAUGCGUAGAGAUCGGGAGGAACACCAGUGGCGAAGGCGACUUACUGGACUGUAACUGACGCUGAGGCGCGAAAGUGUGGGGAGCAAACAGGAUUAGAUACCCGGGUAGUCU